rnacentral:rRNA from 1 species
AGUGAACGCUGGCGGUAGGCCUAACACAUGCAAGUCGAACGGCAGCACAGUAAGAGCUUGCUCUUACGGGUGGCGAGUGGCGGACGGGUGAGGAAUACAUCGGAAUCUACUUUUUCGUGGGGGAUAACGUAGGGAAACUUCCGCUAAUACCGCAUACGACCUACGGGUGAAAGCAGGGGAUCUUCGGACCUUGCGCGAUUGAAUGAGCCGAUGCCGGAUUAGCUAGUUGGCGGGGUAAAGGCCCACCAAGGCGACGAUCCGUAGCUGGUCUGAGAGGAUGAUCAGCCACACUGGAACUGAGACACGGUCCAGACUCCUACGGGAGGCAGCAGUGGGGAAUAUUGGACAAUGGGCGCAAGCCUGAUCCAGCCAUACCGCGUGGGUGAAGAAGGCCUUCGGGUUGUAAAGCCCUUUUGUUGGGAAAGAAAAGCAGCAGGUUAAUACCCCGCUGUUCUGACGGUACCCAAAGAAUAAGCACCGGCUAACUUCGUG